UACGUAGGGGGCAAGCGUUGUCCGGAUUUAUUGGGCGUAAAGAGCGUGUAGGCGGCCAUACAGGUCCGUUGUGAAAACUGGAGGCUUAACCUCCAGACGUCGAUGGAAACCGUAUGGCUAGAGUCCGGAAGAGGAGAGUGGAGUUCCUGGUGUAGCGGUGAAAUGCGCAGAUAUCAGGAAGAACACCCGUGGCGAAGGCGGCUCUCUGGGACGGUACUGACGCUGAGACGCGAAAGCGUGGGGAGCGAACAGG
rnacentral:rRNA from 1 species